rnacentral:rRNA from 1 species
UAGGGAAUCUUCGGCAAUGGGGGGAACCCUGACCGAGCAACGCCGCGUGAGUGAAGAAGGUUUUCGGAUCGUAAAGCUCUGUUGUUAAGGAAGAACGAGUGUGAGAAUGGAAAGUUCAUACUGUGACGGUACUUAACCAGAAAGGGACGGCUAACUACGUGCCAGCAGCCGCGGUAAUACGUAGGUCCCGAGCGUUGUCCGGAUUUAUUGGGCGUAAAGCGAGCGCAGGCGGUUAGAUAAGUCUGAAGUUAAAGGCAGUGGCUCAACCAUUGUAGGCUUUGGAAACUGUUUAACUUGAGUGCAGAAGGGGAGAGUGGAAUUCCAUGUGUAGCGGUGAAAUGCGUAGAUAUAUGGAGGAACACCGGUGGCGAAAGCGGCUCUCUGGUCUGUAACUGACGCUGGGGCUCGAAAGCGUGGGGAGCGAACAGG